UGCGGCGCUGCACUGGGGACGCCAUUAAAAAUAGCAUCCAGACGCAGGAUGCUAUCCAUAAUAGUGUCCAGAGAACUCUGCAUUUACCCGCCCCCACCCGUCUGCUUAUCUAUUUAUUCAUUAACACCAACUCCCAUUUACAGCUCCCAUUUCCCGUCUAUCAUCCCUUUCAUCUCUAAGGUUCGAUCAACUGAGGUUGAAACGAAUUUCGUCGAAGGUAUCCAGAAAGUUAAAGCACAACUGUGUGUUGAGAAUGAGA
rnacentral:misc_RNA from 1 species